CCUACGGGAGGCAGCAGUGAGGAAUAUUGGUCAAUGGACGAGAGUCUGAACCAGCCAAGUAGCGUGAAGGAUGACUGCCCUAUGGGUUGUAAACUUCUUUUAUAUGGGAAUAAAAUGUUCCACGUGUGGGAUUUUGUAUGUACCAUAUGAAUAAGGAUCGGCUAACUCCGUGCCAGCAGCCGCGGUAAUACGGAGGAUCCGAGCGUUAUCCGGAUUUAUUGGGUUUAAAGGGAGCGUAGGUGGAUUGUUAAGUCAGUUGUGAAAGUUUGCGGCUCAACCGUAAAAUUGCAGUUGAAACUGGCAGUCUUGAGUACAGUAGAGGUGGGCGGAAUUCGUGGUGUAGCGGUGAAAUGUUUAGAUAUCACGAAGAACUCCGAUUGCGAAGGCAGUUCACUGGACUGCAACUGACACUGAGGCUCGAAAGUGUGGGUAUCAAACAGGAUUAGAUACCCCAGUAGUC
rnacentral:rRNA from 1 species